GGAGCCGUAGCGUAAUGGUUAACGCGUUGCUUUCCGGUCCACUUGCUGAUUGGCAAAGAUUCCAGGUUCGAAUCCUGGCGGUUUCG